GGUUCUGGAGCCCCCGCGCGGGAUCGGUCCUGGGUGUAGACAGACGCUGCUGGCCAGCCCGCCCCAGCCGAGGUUCUUGGCACC
ensembl:miRNA